UGAACACAGAACAACUGCUGCUCCUGAUGGGCCAAGAACCAAACAUAGCAAGGAUAGCGGGUCGAUAUACCUUGGUCUUCAUGCCAGCCUUACCGGCACAGUUUAUAUUCGCGGUUCUUAACUCCUACCUUCGUUGCCAG